UGAAAUGUUAAUCAGUAUAAUUCAGGAAUCAGUUUGCAUGGAGUUUAGAAACAUCCAGGAUUUACUAGCUAAAGUGUUGAAAAGCUCUGAAGAGUAUUUCUGUUUUCAUGGAAACUAUACCUUUUACAUGUAAAAAAUGUUCAUAAGCCUCUAUUUGAUUAACAGCAUUGUUAUUUCUUUGUCCAGUAGAAUCAACCGUAUCUGAAGAGAGAGCUGAGGAAAUUAAACAAUGACUGAGAAACAACACACAGCCCAUCAGCCAGGUGGAACAGUACAUGCGAAAAAUAUGUUUGAGGUCCUCCAUGAGUUUCCUCGGCUAACUACCCCAGGCAUGAUGCAAAGGGAAAUCUUGCACUAAAGCUGUUACCUGUUUUGCUUCCACCUCCACCCUACAAAAUUGGCAGAAAAACACUCCGGGCCCAGCAUUGAUGAAAUCAAAAAAGCUUUCAUUGACAUUUAGCCUGUUGGAACAAAUAUGGUGGAGGACCUCCAGCAGGCUGAAGCAUCAAGACCUUACCCUCAUGUCCUGUCACUUGAAAAUGGACACAUUGAUUCGCAGGCAUUUGUCAUCCUCGCAGGAAAAGCUUUGGAGCAA